rnacentral:rRNA from 1 species
UACGUAGGGUGCAGGCGUUAAUCGGAAUUACUGGGCGUAAAGCGUGCGCAGGCGGUUUGCUAAGACAGGUGUGAAAUCCCCGGGCUUAACCUGGGAACUGCGCUUGUAACUGGCAAGCUGGAGUGUGGCAGAGGGGGGUGGAAUUCCAGGUGUAGCAGUGAAAUGCGUAGAGAUCUGGAGGAACACCGAUGGCGAAGGCAGCCCCCUGGGCUAACACUGACGCUCAUGCACGAAAGCGUGGGGAGCAAACAGG